rnacentral:lncRNA from 1 species
UUGGGCGAAGACAGGGACGGAACCUACACUGUUACAAAGACAUAACAAAUGGAAAAAGAAACAUGGAUCGGCGGCAGCUAGAAAGCCGGUGACGUCGACCGCCGAACACCGCCCGAACAAGGAGAGGCACCAACUUCGGCGGAAGUCGUAACAAUACCCAGCACCUCACAACGUUCCCUUUUUUCCAGUUUUGACCACUCUGCGUGCCCUGACCCUGAGCCUGCCUGUCAUUCUGUACCUUGCGACACCGCCCUGGAUUACUGAUCUCUGCCUGCCCUGACCCUGCCUGCCGUUCUGUAUCUUGCGACCCUGUCCUGGAUUACUGACCUCUGCCUGCCCUUGACCUGUCGUCUGCCUGCCUGCCCCCUGUUUUGUUAAUAAACAUCUGCGAUUCGAACUGUCUCCAUCUGGGUCUUAUCCUGAGCUCUGAUAAAUA